UACGGAGGGGACUAGCGUUGUUCGGAAUUACUGGGCGUAAAGCGCGUGUAGGCGGCAGGGCAUGUCGGAUGUGAAAUCCCGUGGCUCAACCACGGAAGUGCACCCGAAACUGCCCAGCUUGAGUCUCGGAGAGGAAGGCGGAAUGCUUGGUGUAGAGGUGAAAUUCGUAGAUAUCAAGCGGAACACCGGUGGCGAAGGCGGCCUCUGGACGAUGACUGACGCUGAGACGCGAAAGCGUGGGGAGCAAACAGG
rnacentral:rRNA from 1 species